rnacentral:rRNA from 1 species
CAGUCGCCGCGGUAAUACGUAGGGUGCGAGCGUUAAUCGGAAUUACUGGGCGUAAAGCGCGCGUAGGUGGUUCGCCAAGUUGGAUGUGAAAUCCCCGGGCUCAACCUGGGAACUGCAUCCAAAACUGGCGAGCUAGAGUAUGGUAGAGGGUGGUGGAAUUUCCUGUGUAGCGGUGAAAUGCGUAGAUAUAGGAAGGAACAUCAGUGGCGAAGGCGACCACCUGGACUGAUACUGACACUGAGGUGCGAAAGCGUGGGGAGCAAACAGGAUUAGAUACCCGGGUAGUCCCUGUCUCUUAUAA